GACGUCACUGCGCAUGCGGAAAGUCACCCUCAGGGGAGAAACUGGGCAAGAGGCGAGUCCAUAAAGUCCAGGGAUUAAGUGGAAACGCCGAUAAAAUUUUGGGCUCCUGUCUUCUGUCUCCUGACAAUCCUGGAGUUUUUCCAUGUGGCUGCAUCAUAUCUCAUGCCUCCUGUCUCUAGGAACUAAACCAGAAGACUUAAAUACAUUCCCGAGAGACUCUCAUGAAGACUGAACUAAAAUGCUCCCUAACUGCUGAUACCUUAUGGGAAUUCCAGGGAAGCAGAUGAAGGUACUGUUACAUGUUUUUCUUACUAAUAUUUAUAGAACAUGGACUGCAUCAUAGUGCAAUGAUACGACACUCUGGGGAAUUAGAGAAGUGUGAGCUUAGCAUGAUAUUAACUCAGGGAUUUAUAUCCUAGUAGGGGAGACUAGAUAUGAGCUUAGAUAUCUGAAAUUCAGAAUAAAACAUGGCAAGGAACACAGGAGAAAUGAGAGCAGAGGGCUAUGCCCUGAUUUGAAGAUCUAGAAAGAAGGCUGACAUGAGGCUGAGCUUGAGAUGGAGUCACCGGAAGGGGGAAUUGACCUGGUAGGUGGAAUUCACUGGCAGGUGAAGGCAAUGACCAUAAUGCUGAGGCAUGGGGGGCCCAGCUGUGCUUAGCAAGGAGCAAAUUACUCUCAUUGGCUGCAGUCUUUGGUAAUAGCGUAAAAAGCAGUGGUGAGUCAGUAGAUUGGAGAAUAGGAGGCAGGGCCUUGAAGGCUAAGACAUUUAGACUAUGGGCCAGUGGAGGAUUGCAAAGUUUAGCAAAGAUCCAAAAAUCUUCAAUGUUGGCAGAGACUUGACUGACAGCUAGUGUACAGUAUCACAUUUGAUAAUCUGAUAAUGCGAGAUUCAUUAACGUGCUCAAGAAUGCCCAUGAUAACAGCAAAAAGACAUUACACUGUGGGUGUGUGCAAUUCUAGGGUUAACGUUUUCGGGAGCAACCCCCGAAGUCUUCUUAUCACAGGUGAGUAGGUUCUGGUAGAGGACCUGAUCUCUCAGCAAAUAGGUAGAGCCAAUCCCAGUACCUUCAUCUCAACAAAGCUUUACGAUCUCAUGUGGUUUUUUGUAAAAAUUCGGAAAGAUAAGCAUUACAGUUUCUAUUUGUUAGCUCUGAACAAUAUUUUCCAUAGUAAAAUGUAUGAAUCCGGGGAGCAAAGAAAACUUGAAUUAAAUCUCUGAUGAAUUUCAAAAAAGAAAAUACUAUUAAGUUUUCAGACUUUUGUCACGAUUUCUCCUCCUUUGACCCUUUGUCCCUUAAGAAAACUAAUUCCAGACCAGGAAUAGUGACUUGUGCCUGUAAUCCCAGCACUUUGGGAGGCCGAGAUGUCUGGAUCACCUGAGGUCAGGAGUUCCAGACCAUCCUGGCCAACAUGGUGAAACCUGUCGCUACUAAAAACACAAAAAAUUAUAAUCAAAUAAAAAAAUUAGCUGGGCAUGGUGCUGUGCACCUGUAAUCCCAGCUACU